rnacentral:rRNA from 1 species
UACGUAGGGGGCAAGCGUUGUCCGGAUUUAUUGGGCGUAAAGAGCUCGUAGGUGGCUGAGUAAGUCGGAUGUUAAAUCCCCAGGCUCAACCUGGGACACCACCCGAUACUGCUCUAGCUAGAGUCCGGUAGGGGAGCAUGGAAUUCCUGGUGUAGCGGUGAAAUGCGCAGAUAUCAGGAGGAACACCAGCGGCGAAGGCGGUGCUCUGGGCCGGAACUGACACUGAGGAGCGAAAGCGUGGGUAGCAAACAGG